AUUGAACGCUGGCGGCAGGCUUAACACAUGCAAGUCGAGCGGAGAGAAGUAGCUUGCUACUGAUCUUAGCGGCGGACGGGUGAGUAAUGCUUAGGAAUCUGCCUAUUAGUGGGGGACAACAUUUCGAAAGGAAUGCUAAUACCGCAUACGUCCUACGGGAGAAAGCAGGGGAUCUUCGGACCUUGCGCUAAUAGAUGAGCCUAAGUCGGAUUAGCUAGUUGGUGGGGUAAAGGCCUACCAAGGCGACGAUCAGUAGCGGGUCUGAGAGGAUGAUCCGCCACACUGGGACUGAGACACGGCCCAGACUCCUACGGGAGGUAGCAGUGGGGAAUAUUGGACAAUGGGCGGAAGCCUGAUCCAGCCAUGCCGCGUGUGUGAAGAAGGCCUUAUGGUUGUAAAGCACUUUAAGCGAGGAGGAGGCUACUUUAGUUAAUACCUAGAGAUAGUGGACGUUACCCGCAGAAUAAGCACCGGCUAACUCUGUGCCAGCCGCCGCAGUAACAC
rnacentral:rRNA from 1 species